UACGGAGGGGGCUAGCGUUGUUCGGAAUUACUGGGCGUAAAGCGCACGUAGGUGGCUUUGUAAGUUAGAGGUGAAAGCCCGAGGCUCAACUCCGGAAUUGCCUUUAAGACUGCAUCGCUAGAACGUCGGAGAGGUAAGUGGAAUUCCGAGUGUAGAGGUGAAAUUCGUAGAUAUUCGGAAGAACACCAGUGGCGAAGGCGACUUACUGGCCUGUUCUUGACGCUGAGGCGCGAAAGCUAGGGGAGCAAACGGG
rnacentral:rRNA from 1 species